ACGAAGGCAGCGAAGUACUGCACAGACGCUAUAAAGGAGUACGUUGGGGUAACGUUCAAGGCCCAACGGAUCAGCUUCACGUCAGUCACACUGAACUGGCGCGGAGUCUGGUCCAAAGCAUCCUCAACGGAGCUCCAAGCACGAGGUCUCAUAGCCAAAAGAGACCUCAAAGUGAUCUCCUCCCGCGUCAUCUUGGGAGGACUGAUGCAGUACGCGCUGUUUUCAAAGACGACUGCGCCAGCAGUGACCAGGAGACGGAGGCCCCCACCCCGACCGCCCGACAGGAAGAAGGAGAGAAGCCAACCCCCCCCCCCAAAGGGCGCUACCAGGCCCUAACAAGGAUUGUUUCUUCAAAAUUUCAUUUCAUGUUAGAAUAAGUUUGCAAAUGUUCAGUGCUUCACACAACGAUCCAUACUGUAAAAUUGGUACAAUAUACAUUUUUAUUUUUUAUUUUUUAUUUUUUUAUUUUUAGCCAAAUGCCUCGUCAUCUAAUUAGUGACGCGCAUGAAUGGAUUAACGAGAUUCCCACUGUCCCUACCUACUAUCUAGCGAAACCACUGCCAAGGGAACGGGCUUGGAAAAAUUAGCGGGG
rnacentral:ncRNA from 1 species